rnacentral:rRNA from 1 species
ACUCCUACGGGAGGCAGCAGUGGGGAAUAUUGCACAAUGGGCGCAAGCCUGAUGCAGCCAUGCCGCGUGUAUGAAGAAGGCCUUCGGGUUGUAAAGUACUUUCAGUCAGUGAGGAGGUAGUGUAGUUAAUAGCUGCAUAUUUUGACGAUUAGACUGUAGAAGGAAGACACCCGGGCUAACUCCGUGCCAGCAGCCGCGGUAAUACGGAGGGUGCGAGCGUUAAUCGGAAUUACUGGGCGUAAAGCGCAUGCAGGUGGUUUGUUAAGUCAGAUGUGAAAGCCC